GGAGGAAGCUCCGGCUAACUACGUGCCAGCAGCCGCGGUAAUACGUAGGGAGCAAGCGUUGUCCGGAUUUACUGGGUGUAAAGGGUGCGUAGGCGGAUUGGCAAGUCAGAAGUGAAAUCCAUGGGCUUAACCCAUGAACUGCUUUUGAAACUGUUAGUCUUGAGUGAAGUAGAGGUAGGCGGAAUUCCCGGUGUAGCGGUGAAAUGCGUAGAGAUCGGGAGGAACACCAGUGGCGAAGGCGGCCUACUGGGCUUUAACUGACGCUGAGGCACGAAAGUGUGGGUAGCAAACAGGAUUAGAUACCCUGGUAGUCCACACUGUAAACGAUGAUUACUAGGUGUGGGGGGUCUAACCCCCUCCGUGCCGGAGUUAACACAAUAAGUAAUCCACCUGGGGAGUACGACCGCAAGGUUGAAACUCAAAGGAAUUGACGGGGGCCCGCACAAGCAGUGGAGUAUGUGGUUUAAUUCGACGCAACGCGAAGAACCUUACCAAGUCUUGACAUCCCUUGACGAACAUAGAAAUAUGUUUUCUCUUCGGAGCAAGGAGACAGGUGGUGCAUGGUUGUCGUCAGCUCGUGUCGUGAGAUGUUGGGUUAAGUCCCGCAACGAGCGCAACCCUUACUGUCAGUUACUACGCAAGAGGACUCUGGCAGGACUGCCGUUGACAAAACGGAGGAAGGUGGGGAUGACGUCAAAUCAUCAUGCCCU
rnacentral:rRNA from 1 species